rnacentral:rRNA from 1 species
UACAGAGGAGGCAAGCGUUGUUCGGAAUUACUGGGCGUAAAGGGCGCGUAGGCGGCCUUCUAAGUCGAACGUGAAAUCCCCGGGCUCAACCCGGGAACUGCGUCCGAUACUGGAAGGCUUGAAUCCGGGAGAGGGAUACGGAAUUCCAGGUGUAGCGGUGAAAUGCGUAGAUAUCUGGAGGAACACCGGUGGCGAAGGCGGCAUCCUGGACCGGCAUUGACGCUGAGGCGCGAAAGCCAGGGGAGCAAACGGG